rnacentral:rRNA from 1 species
GACGAACGCUGGCGGCGUGGAUUAGGCAUGCAAGUCGAACGGUAUCAUCCUUUCGGGGGUGAGAGAGUGGCGAACUGGUGAGUAACACGUAGGUUAUCUACCCUCAAGACGGGGACAACCCAGGGAAACUUGGGCUAAUACCGGAUGUGAGCAACUUUUAGUUGUUUGAAAGGUGGCGUAAGCUGUCGCUUGGGGAUGAGCCUGCGUCCUAUUAGUUAGUUGGUGAGGUAACGGCUCACCUAGGCAAUGAUAGGUAGGCGGCCUUAACGGGUGGUCGCCCACACUGGGAUUGAGAUACGGCCCAGACUCCUACGGGAGGCAGCAGUCGAGAAUAGUCUACAAUGGUCGGAAGACUGAUAGUGCGACGCCGCGUGAACGAUGAAUCCCUUCGGGGUGUAAAAGUUCUUUUAUAUGUGAGCAGUGCUUCUUAUAUUAACAGUAUGGGGAAGAGAUAUUAGCAUAUGAAUAAGCAAACGGCUAAACUCCGUGCCAGCAGCCGCGGUAA